GGGUCAUAUGAAGGUUAAACCCCACAUCUGUAUUAUAAUAAAUAAAUCAAAUAGUUUGAAAAAUAUUUUUCUGUAUAAAAAAUAUUUAUCUAUUUUAUCCUGUAUUUAGCCAUGUUAAAAUGCAGCCUUUUCACAUCAUCAAAAGUAAGACAAAGUGGAAGAAAGAAAAGUUUUUGCCCCUGUCAAUUUUCAAAAUGCAGAGAUGCUUCCAUGAUAGAAUAUCCUGAGUUGGAAAGAACCCACAAGGAUCACCAAGUAUGCAUUCAAUAGUUGGCUGAAGGGCCUGAAGUGCUUCCAUGUGCUUUUAGGAUUUGCAAGUUCCAGAGCAUUUCCAUGAAAGGUUAACUAUUCUCUUCCAAAAUAUUAACUAUAUUACUAUUAAUUCAAUUAAUGUAAGUACCAAUUGUUUUAAAAACUAAUUUUGAAUCCAGAACAAAAGGAAUUCCUCAGUUUUGAAACAUCCUGCACUAUACUUACUUGUGAAUGUGUUUCAAUGUUUGUAUAAUCUUUGGAUGACUUGUAUUUAUUUUAAAUGUUUCACAUAUGUUUGAGUAUCUGUUAUAUAUUGCUAAUGACUUAUUUUAAAUAAGAAAAUUUGGCAACAAUGAUCUAUCUAAUUUUCUUGUUGUGGUAUGAUUUUAGUUUUUCAAAUCUGUAUUUACCUUCUGUUAUAUUUGCAUAUACAUAUUUUGUCAGAAUUGUCAGAGCUUUCCUUCAAUUUAAUUAGCCCACAGAAAAGAGUGGAAAUCUUUUUUAAUUAAAAUAACAUUUAUUAAGAUUUCCCAGAAUAUCAUUGUUGUUUGAGUUUUAUAGGUAACCAUGAGCAUUUUGACUGUCAAAUUACAGAACAGGUUGACAGAUGAAAAUUCCUGCAAAAUUAUAACACUGGAGUAGGGAUGCAUUUCAGCUUCUUGAUUUAUUCCAUUUUUACACAUUCCACACAAAGCAUUAAAAC
rnacentral:lncRNA from 1 species